rfam:Fukomys damarensis contig90631, whole genome shotgun sequence.
CAAAAGGCUCUUCUAAGAGCCACCUACUUACUCUUUUGAAAUAGCU